UGCAUGUCUAAGUAUAAGCAAUUAUACAGCGAAACUGCGAAUGGCUCAUUAUAUAAGUUAUCGUUUAUUUGAUAGUACCUUACUACUUGGAUAACCGUGGUAAUUCUAGAGCUAAUACAUGCUAAAAAUCCCGACUUCGGAAGGGAUGUAUUUAUUAGAUUAAAAACCAAUGCCCUCUGGGCUCCUUGGUGAUUCAUGAUAACUUCUCGAAUCGCACGGCCUUGCGCCGGCGAUGGUUCAUUCAAAUUUCUUCCCUAUCAACUUUCGAUGUUUGGGUAGUGGCCAAACAUGGUUGCAACGGGUAACGGAGGGUUAGGGCUCGACCCCGGAGAAGGAGCCUGAGAAACGGCUACUACAUCCAAGGAAGGCAGCAGGCGCGCAAAUUACCCAAUCCCGAUUCGGGGAGGUAGUGACAAUAAAUACUGAUACAGGGCUCUUUUGGGUCUUGUAAUUGGAAUGAGUACAAUUUAAAUCCCUUAACGAGGAACAAUUGGAGGGCAAGUCUGGUGCCAGCAGCCGCGGUUAUUCCAGCUCCAAUAGCGUAUAUUAAAGUUGUUGUGGUUAAAAAGCUCGUAGUUGAACCUUGGGCCUGGCUGGCCGGUCCGCCUCACCGCGUGUACUGGUCCGGCCGGGCCUUUCCCUCUGUGGAACCCCAUGCCCUUCACUGGGCGUGGCGGGGAAACAGGACUUUUACUUUGAAAAAAUUAGUGCUCCAGGCAGGCCUAUGCUCGAAUACAUUAGCAUGGAAUAAUGAAAUAGGACGUGCGGUUCUAUUUUGUUGGUUUCUAGGACCGCCGUAAUGAUUAAUAGGGACAGUCGGGGGCAUCAGUAUUCAAUUGUCAGAGGUGAAAUUCUUGGAUU
rnacentral:rRNA from 1 species